rnacentral:rRNA from 1 species
UACGUAGGGUGCAAGCGUUGUCCGGAAUUAUUGGGCGUAAAGAGCUCGUAGGCGGUUUGUCGCGUCUGCUGUGAAAACCCGAGGCUCAACCUCGGGCCUGCAGUGGGUACGGGCAGACUAGAGUGCGGUAGGGGAGAUUGGAAUUCCUGGUGUAGCGGUGGAAUGCGCAGAUAGUCAGGAGGAACACCGGUGGCGAAGGCGGGUCUCUGGGCAGUAACUGACGCUGAGGAGCGAAAGCGUGGGGAGCGAACAGG